GUCCAUGGCCAUGCUCCCCUGAACAAGCCUGAUCCCAUCUGAUCUCAGAAGCUAAGCAGGGUCGGUCCUGGUUAGUACUUGGAUGGGAGACCACCUAGGAAGAUCAGGUGCUGUAGGCA
rnacentral:rRNA from 1 species